rnacentral:rRNA from 2 species
UGUAGGACACUCAAUACGGAGUUACAAAAGAGCGAGUUAGAUGAAGCGACUUGGAAAGGUCCGCCAGAGCAGGUAAAAGCCCUGUAGUCGAAAGUUCGUUCCCUCCUGAGUGGAUCCUGAGUACGGCGGAACACGUGAAAUUCCGUCGGAAUCCGGGAGGACCAUCUCCCAAGGCUAAAUACUACCUAGUGACCGAUAGUGAACCAGUACCGUGAGGGAAAGGUGAAAAGCACCCCGGAAGGGGAGUGAAAGAGAUCCUGAAACCGUGUGCCUACAAGUAGUUAGAGCCCGUUAAUGGGUGAUAGCGUGCCUUUUGUAGAAUGAACCGGCGAGUUACGAUUACGUGCGAGGUUAAGCUUUAGAAGGCGGAGCCGCAGCGAAAGCGAGUCUGAAUAGGGCGAAAUAGUACGUGGUCGUAGACCCGAAACCAGGUGAUCUACCCAUGUCCAGGGUGAAGGUAAGGUAACACUUACUGGAGGCCCGAACCCACGCACGUUGAAAAGUGCGGGGAUGAGGUGUGGGUAGCGGAGAAAUUCCAAUCGAACUUGGAGAUAGCUGGUUCUCUCCGAAAUAGCUUUAGGGCUAGCCUCGUGAUGAGAAUACUGGAGGUAGAGCACUGUUUGGACUAGGGGGCCAUCCCGGUUUACCGAAUUCAGACAAACUCCGAAUGCCAGAUAUUUAUACACGGGAGUCAGACUGCGAGUGAUAAGAUCCGUAGUCAAAAGGGAAACAGCCCAGACCACCAGCUAAGGUCCCAAAGUAAUCGUUAAGUGGAAAAGGAUGUGGCGUUGCACAGACAACCAGGAUGUUGGCUUAGAAGCAGCCAUCAUUUAAAGAGUGCGUAAUAGCUCACUGGUCGAGUGACGCUGCGCCGAAAAUGUAUCGGGGCUAAACGAUUCACCGAAGCUGUGGAUUGACAUCUACGAUGUCAGUGGUAGGAGAGCGUUCUAAGUGCGUUGAAGUCAGACCGGAAGGACUGGUGGAGCGCUUAGAAGUGAGAAUGCCGGUAUGAGUAGCGAAAGACGGGUGAGAAUCCCGUCCACCGUAUGACUAAGGUUUCCUGAGGAAGGCUCGUCCGCUCAGGGUUAGUCGGGACCUAAGCCGAGGCCGAUAGGCGUAGGCGAUGGACAACAGGUUGAUAUUCCUGUACCACCUCCUCACCGUUUGAGAAAUGGGGGGACGCAGUAGGAUAGGGUAAGCGCGCUGUUGGUUAUGCGCGUCCAAGCAGUAAGGCGUGUGUGUAGGCAAAUCCGCACACUGUAACGUUGAGCUGUGAUGGCGAGUCCGUAUGGACGAAGUUCCUGAUUUCACACUGCCAAGAAAAGCCUCUAUCGAGGUGAGAGGUGCCCGUACCGCAAACC